CCAAGGCAACGCCAACCAGUAAUGAAGGGUGUUAAAAGUCGAACACUUUUCAGAACUCCUUCUCACACGCCCUGCAAAUCAACUAAUCAAGAAGGAAGAGAAUUGGGGAGGCUUGAAAGGAGACGUGAAGAGAGAAAUAAAGAUCGUACAGCUCUGUUAGGAAUUAAGGCAAAAACUGAGAAGGGCAGAGAGAGAGAGGAAGUGGGGGCAUGAGGGCGUGAAGUAAUUACUUGCUACUUAGAGAAAAAAAAAAAAAUCUCUUUGACACAAGUCCU
rnacentral:misc_RNA from 1 species